CCUAGCAUUCUUGGGUGGGAGUCGCACUGGGCUGGAAAAAAGGGAUACUUUGGUGUGGUUCGGGAAGGCUGCCCUUUGCAGAACGUGGAUCUGUCAGGAGCUCGGUUCUUUGGUGCCCUGGGAAAAUAAAGCUAGGAUCGGAAGUUAAAUAAUACAAUACAUUGUAUUCUGGCCAACCAUAAUAAAACAGAAGAGGAUGCAGUUUUCCAUUUGGUCUACAACGCUUGAUUUUAAAAAGUGCAAGAGGACUGAAGACAGGCUGCUUUGCGUCCGAUUUGAUUGUUUUUCAGCUUCAGCUUGAUCUGGAGAAGCGAAGGAGGGUCGCAUCUGAUUGGUAUUCGGAUAGGAGACAACCAAGAAAACCCGGGGUAAUAUUUGGACAGAGACAUUUUUUAAAAAGUUUUUCUGGAUGAAGGGAGCGGCGAGCUGUUCCGUGUUGUUGCUCAGCGGCGUGCCCAUGAAGUGCCUUGGCGCCAAGCUCCACUUCAACUUGGAUUUGUUGUCCAGCUCUAGAAUUUGGGUUUUUAUUCCUCUAAUAAUCCUACAGAGGGUUGCAAACCACUUCCUUCUUUUUCCCCCCCCCUUCGGAGCGAAAUAAUUGAAGAUCAAGAAUCAACAUCCUCUUUCAGGUGACUUAGAGACGCCAUCCUAAUAAUUGUUUUUCUUAAUUAGACCUGGCUCAAUUUAAAUCGGGUAAAAAAAACAAACACCCCUUUUUUAUUGUUCCCUGAAAAUAAAUAGAAUCUUUGUAAGCAUGAGAAAGAUUUGUUAGGGAGGGGAAGGAGCAAGUUACUUCUAUCCCUGGGUAGCCCUAGUGGAUUCUGGGUCUUGUAGUUUCCCCAAGCGUUCAAAAGCAGUUGAUUUAAGGGUGCUGCUCUAACGAAAGUGGAUCGAGGGCAGCAGACUAUCGUAAAGUGCUUAUGUGGCAAAGGGGGCAGCGCUGCAAGUUAAUAGCGCUAAGCGGCCCAAGUGUUCAGCGGUAGAGACUGCAGCGAACUCUCAGUCCCAUUUGUUCAUUUCAGGUAUUGAUUCAAACCAAGCCGGUGCGCUUCUCGCCAAGCGCGACUCUGAAACGCCGCUCUUCUUCCAGAAAUAACCACUUUUGCCUACAGUGAAAAUUUGGCCGUGAUUCUAGAUUUCCUUUUAGCCGGUCAUGAGAUCUGUUGUGUCUAACCCCAGUUAUUAUCAAAUAUCAAAGUAAAAGGGGAAGCCUUCCCGUUGCCUCUCUCUGAAUUUGGCAGGAAAGAAUUAUGAAGAAAGAAGUUAUGUUUUGGGGUUUGGUUUUGUUUUUUAGCCAGACUAGUUUUUAGGAAGGACUCUCAAGCUUCCACCAAAUUGAAAAAGGCUCCUGUUAAGACAUACAUUUUGUUGUUUGGGAAUAUUUUACAAAAUAUUUAAUUUAGAUUUAGCACAUCAAUGCCAACUUUGGGGUAUUGCUUCUGGGGCUUUAAAAUGACCAUUCUGCAACUUUGGUUGGAAAUUUAGAGAAAGGGGCAGGUACAAUUUUCCUAAUUACUAAUUCAGGCAUUAAGGCAUUAAGAUGUUUAAUUGUGAUUUGUCAAUUUGGCUGAGGUUCACACUUCUUGUAAAGCCAAAACCAACUAAAUCAUAUAGCUAUAUUAAUGUAUAAACAGUAUUUAUUUAUAAAUCAAAUUUAUACAGCUUCCCAUCUCACCUGAGGUGACUCUGGAUGGCACAAAACAAUUCUUAUUACCUUCAGGCCUCAAGAUUUUCAUUUGUGCUAGAAUAAAACAUUAGGUUCAUCAUUCAAAUAUCAAACUCCAUUUACAUACCAUUUUGUUUUCUAAGAAUGCCUCAGAGUCUGAGGGGAAACAGAAGCAUUUUCGUAAAUAAAGAUGAUGCUAGAGGGGGUUUAUGCCUUAUUUUGCAGCAUAUCUAUUUCCGUUCUUGAAAAUUAAAUCUGUGAAAGCUGGGCCUGACAAUCUGGUGGAUAUCAAGGGAUAUGCUGCAAAAUAAAGCAUAAAUUUCCUGUAACAUUGCCAUUUACAAAAAUGCUGUAAUCAAAAAUGCAAUCAACAUGCCACAAUUUGGACACUUGGCAACCAGCUCACAUUUAUGACUUCGUUACAGCAUCCCACGGUCAUGGGAUUGCUUUUUCUUUCUUUCUUUUUUUUUUUUGCUAUCUUCCAACAAAAAAAGCCUAUUGGAUAAGCUGGAUUCAAACCUACAAUCAUAUGACCAUAAUAACAGUGGUAGAAUCUACUUGAGUUCAUGACUCAACAACCACGAUUUAUAAUUAAAAUUCUGAGUUCAAUCGUG